UCCUACGGGAGGCAGCAGUGGGGAAUAUUGCACAAUGGGCGCAAGCCUGAUGCAGCCAUGCCGCGUGUGUGAAGAAGGCCUUCGGGUUGUAAAGCACUUUCAGCGAGGAGGAAGGCAUCACACUUAAUACGUGUGGUGAUGACGUACUCGCAGAGAGCCCCGAAUCCCCCC
rnacentral:rRNA from 1 species